GAUGAACGCUGGCGGCGUGCUUAACACAUGCAAGUCGAACGAAGCAGGAAGCGAAGCGCAAGCAGAGGUUCUUGACUGAGUGGCGGACGGGUGAGUAACGCGUGGAUAACCUGCCUUUCACAGGGGGAUAACAGCUGGAAACGGUUGCUAAUACCGCAUGAGCCUCUUUUGUCGCAUGACGGGAGAGGGAAAGAGAAAUCGGUGAGAGAUGGAUCCGCGUCCGAUUAGCUAGUUGGAGGGGUAACAGCCCACCAAGGCGACGAUCGGUAGCCGACCUGAGAGGGUGGACGGCCACAUUGGGACUGAGACACGGCCCAA
rnacentral:rRNA from 1 species